rnacentral:rRNA from 1 species
UGGGGAAUUUUGGACAAUGGGCGCAAGCCUGAUCCAGCCAUGCCGCGUGCGGGAAGAAGGCCUUCGGGUUGUAAACCGCUUUUGUCAGGGAAGAAAUCUUCUGAGUUAAUACCUCGGGAGGAUGACGGUACCUGAAGAAUAAGCACCGGCUAACUACGUGCCAGCAGCCGCGGUAAUACGUAGGGUGCAAGCGUUAAUCGGAAUACUGGGCGUAAAGCGUGCGCAGGCGGUUUUGUAAGACAGAGGUGAAAUCCCCGGGCUCAACCUGGGAACUGCCUUUGUGACUGCAAGGCUUGAGUGCGGCAGAGGGGGGAUGGAAUUCCGCGUGUAGCAGUGAAAUGCGUAGAUAUGCGGAGGAACACCGAUGGCGAAGGCAAUCCCCUGGGCCUGCACUGACGCUCAUGCACGAAAGCGUGGGGAGCAAACAGGAUUAGAUACCCUGGUAGUCCACGCCCUAAAACGAUGUCAACUGGUUGUUGGGAAGGUUCCUUCUCAGUAACGUAGCUAACGCGUGAAGUUGACCGCCUGGGGAGUACGGCCGCAAGGUUGAAAC